ensembl:lncRNA
GGAUAACUAGAGGUCUCUUUUCUAACGCUUUGCACUGUUGGUAGAGGAUGAGUGCACAGGUCCCCUGUGCUGUGGUACAACUCCGUAUGGUGUAGAGGACCGAGGGGUGCUGUGCUGUAACCAGACCUUGCACCAUGUGGUGGAGGAUGGGUACCAGUGCUCCCCAGGUGGCCACUUGUAUCUGCCAUCCCGUGACAUGGUGUGUGGCUCACGAGUUCAUCUGAACGAUCCAGGCAAACACUGCUGUGGGGAGGAGACAUAUUACCCUCAGAAUGAAAUCUGCUGCAACGGACACAAACACAGCAGGUGGGGGAACAAGUCCUGCUGCGGAGUCAAGGCUUAUGACCCCAGCUGUG